UCUCCCUACGGGGCGCAGCAGUAGGGAAUUUUCGUCAAUGGGCGCAAGCCUGAACGAGCAAUGCCGCGUGAACGAGGAAGGUCUUCGGAUCGUAAAGUUCUGUUGAAGGGGAAAAAGAGCGGAGAGAGGAAAUGGUCUCCGAUUGAUAUUACCCUUCGAGGAAGUCACGGCUAACUACGUGCCAGCAGCCGCGGUAAUACGUAGGUGGCAAGCGUUAUCCGGAUUUACUGGGUGUAAAGGGAGCGUAGACGGUGAUGCAAGUCAGAAGUGAAAGCCCGCGGCUCAACUGCGGGACUGCUUUUGAA
rnacentral:rRNA from 1 species